GGCUUGUGGCUUACUGGUAAAGUGCUCACCUAGCAUGUGUGGGGCCAUGGGUUCGAUCCUCAGCACCA
rnacentral:tRNA from 1 species